GACGAACGCUGGCGGCAGGCUUAACACAUGCAAGUCGAACGGGCGUAGCAAUACGUCAGUGGCAGACGGGUGAGUAACACGUGGGAACCUUCCUAGGGGUACGGAACAACUCAGGGAAACUUGAGCUAAUACCGUAUACGUCCGUAAGGAGAAAGAUUCAUCGCCCCUAGACGGGCCCGCGUCGGAUUAGGUAGUUGGUGGGGUAACGGCCUACCAAGCCUACGAUCCGUAGCUGAUCUGAGAGGAUGAUCAGCCACACUGGGGACUGAGACACGGCCCAGACUCCUACGGGAGGCAGCAGUGGGGAAUCUUGGACAAUGGGCGCAAGCCUGAUCCAGCCAUGCCGCGUGAGUGAAGAAGGCCUUAGGGUUGUAAAGCUCUUUUACCAGGGACGAUAAUGACGGUACCUGGAGAAUAAGCCCCGGCAACUU
rnacentral:rRNA from 1 species